rnacentral:rRNA from 1 species
CAGCGCCUCAAGUGGUCAGGAUGAUUAUUGGGCCUAAAGCAUCCGUAGCCGGCUCUGUAAGUUUUCGGUUAAAUCUGUACGCUCAACGUACAGGCUGCCGGGAAUACUGCAGAGCUAGGGAGUGGGAGAGGUAGACGGUACUCGGUAGGAAGGGGUAAAAUCCUUUGAUCUAUUGAUGACCACCUGUGGCGAAGGCGGUCUACCAGAACACGUCCGACGGUGAGGGAUGAAAGCUGGGGGAGCAAACCGGAUUAGAUACCCGAGUAGUCC